CACAUGACUCUCGGCAACGGAUAUCUCGGCUCUUGCAUCGAUGAAGAACGUAGCAAAAUGCGAUACCUGGUGUGAAUUGCAGAAUCCCGUGAACCAUCAAGUUUUUGAACGCAAGUUGCGCCUAAGGCCUUUUGGCCAAGGGCACGUCUGCCUGGGCGUCACGC
rnacentral:rRNA from 2 species